GACAGAGGGGGCAAGCGUUGCUCGGAAUUAUUGGGUGUAAAGGGCGCGUAGGCGGCUUCUUAAGUCAAAGGUGAAAUCCCUCGGCUCAACUGAGGAACUGCCUUUGAAACUGGGGAGCUUGAGUCCGGGAGGGGGUAGCGGAAUUCCCAGUGUAGCGGUGAAAUGCGUAGAUAUUGGGAGGAACACCAGUGGCGAAGGCGGCUACCUGGACCGGAACUGACGCUGAUGCGCGAAAGCGUGGGUAGCAAACAGG
rnacentral:rRNA from 1 species